AACGGUCUCCACCGCCCACUUCUGGUCCCUUCACAGAAUCAGCGACCACACUACCGCCGGGCCCGGAGGACCCCGCCCUCCACCAGCCGCCGCUGUCGUCCACCAUGGUGGUGCUCCGAGGACCCCACCGCUGCCGCCACUGCCCACGCCGAUGCCGCUACCCGCUCCGGGCCCCUGGCAAACCCACUGCUUUUCCCCUCCUCCCAGCGCCCGCGCUGCCCGCCCUGGGCCCGCUGUCGCAGGUGCAACGGUACCACCACCCCAGCUGUGAGGCUGCCAUCAACACCCACAUCAGCCUGGAGCUCCACGCAUCCUAUGUGUACCUGUCCAUGGCCUUCUACUUCGACCAGGACGACGCGGCCCUGGAGCACUUUGACUGCUACUUCCUGUGCCAGUUGCAGGAGAAAAGGGAGCACGCCCAGGAGCUGAUGAGGCUGCACAACCUGCGCGGUGGCCGCAUCUGCCUUCAUGACGUCGGGAAGCCAGAGGGCCAAGGCUGGGAGAGCGGGCUCAAGGCCAUGGAGUGCGCCUUCCACCUGGAGAAGAACAUCAACCAGAGCCUCCUGGAGCUGCACCAGCUGGCCAAGGAGAACGGCGACCCCCAGCUUUGCGACUUCCUGGAGAACCACUUCCUGAACCAGCAGGCCAAGACCAUCAAAGAGCUGGGUGGCUACCUGAGCAACCUGCGCAAGAUGGGGUCCCCGGAAGCAGGCCUGGCAGAGUACCUCUUUAACAAGCUCACCCUGGGCCGCAGCCAGAAACACACCUGAGCCCAGACAGGCCCCUCAGCCAUGGGGUGCCUUCCCCUGCUCGCGCCACCAGGCGGGACGUCCAUGUUGCCUUUUCAGAACAUUCUCUUCAUUUUUCUCCUCUCAGUUUGACCAUUGUUAACAAUAAAGUUAUCUGUUCUCAAAGCAA